rnacentral:rRNA from 1 species
CCUACGGGAGGCAGCAGUGGGGGAUAUUGCACAAUGGGGGGAACCCUGAUGCAGCGACGCCGCGUGUGGGAAGACGGUCCUCUGGAUUGUAAACCACUGUCCCCAGGGACGAAAAUGACGGUACCUGGGGAGGAAGCUCCGGCUAACUACGCGCCAGCAGCAGCGGUAAUAUGUAGGGAGCGAGCGUUGUUCGGAAGUACUGGGUGGAAAGGGAGCGUAGGUGGGGGUGAAAGUUAGGUGUAAAAACUAGCGGCUCAACUGGUAGUCGCACUCAAAACUGGAGCUCUUGAGUGACGUAGAGGCUGGCGGAAUUCCUGGUGUAGCGGUGAAAUGCGUAGAUAUUAGGAGGAACACCAGUGGCGAAGGCGACCUGCUGGGCUUUUACUGACGCUGAGGAGCGAAAGUGUGGGGAGCAAACAGGAUUAGAUACCCUUGUAGUC